rnacentral:lncRNA from 1 species
CUGGGCCAAGGGAGGACAUGGGAGGAAGGAGGGGCUUGGAAGGACUAGGUCCUCUCCGCCGGCCCUGCAGCUGUGUUCUCUGCCUCUGCCUCCCCAGGCCCUCUCUUGUGAACAGUCCAUCAGGGCUGGGAGGAAAGCAGGCUGAAACCAGUUCCCAGCGAAGCAGCAUUCGCCAGCAUUUACUUCAUACCUCCCUUUAAUCAACUCACUUUUCUCUAAAAGCUU